rnacentral:lncRNA from 1 species
GGCUGUUAGUCGCCGCAAUCUCACUCUAUUUCCCAGACUGGCGUGCAAUGGCACGAUCUCGACUCACUGUAACUCCGCCUCCUGGGUUCAAGCGAUUCUCUUGCCUCAGCCUCCCGAGUAGCUGGGAUUACAGUAAAGGGAAGAGCUCUCCAACGGGCCCACCCACCUGUCUUAAGGCCUGCAAUCUCAACUCAGGAGGUACUGGGAAUGGUCUGUCCCUGCUCCGGGCUGUUGCUGGCUGUGGGCGGCAUGCCACCCAGGUGCCAAGGUAGAACCCUGGAAGAAGAGGAAGAGGAAGGCAAAGGAGUCAGGGAUGGCUCUUCCUCAGGAAAAACAACUCAAAAACCAUGUUUUCCUCUGCUCUCACACCAACACCACAAUCCACACAGAAGACUUCUGUGGCCAAAUGCGAGGGGUUUCUCCCCACCAACAAACAGCAAGCAACCAACUGGCUGUCCUCCAGUUCAGUUCCAACACUGUCUGCAUGAAGAUAGUGUCAGAUCUCACAGAUUGAUGGCUCAGUUCCCAGUUGCAUGUCCAGGCCUCUGAAACUUCUGACCGACCAACUUCAAGUUGAAGUUCCCAUGAACCCUUCUUUGGGUUGGAUUUAUUUGCU